GCGCUAGUAGCUCAGCUGGCUAGAGCACGCCCCUGAUAAGGGCGAGGUCGAAGGUUCGAGUCCUUUCUGGCGCAUCA
rnacentral:tRNA from 1 species